rnacentral:rRNA from 1 species
UACGGAGGGUGCGAGCGUUGUCCGGAAUCACUGGGCGUAAAGGGCGCGUAGGCGGCCUGAUAAGUAGGGGGUGAAAUCCUGCGGCUUAACCGCAGGGCUGCCUUCUAAACUGUCAGGCUAGAGCACAGUAGAGGCAGGUGGAAUUCCCGGUGUAGCGGUGGAAUGCGUAGAGAUCGGGAAGAACAUCAGUGGCGAAAGCGCUCUACUGGACGGUAUCUGACACUGAGGGACGAAAGCUAGGGGAGCGAAUGGG